ACUCCUACGGGAGGCAGCAGUAGGGAAUCUUCCACAAUGGGCGCAAGCCUGAUGGAGCAACACCGCGUGAGUGAAGAAGGGUUUCGGCUCGUAAAGCUCUGUUGUUAAAGAAGAACACGUAUGAGAGUAACUGUUCAUACGUUGACGGUAUUUAACCAGAAAGUCACGGCUAACUACGUGCCAGCAGCCGCGGUAAUACGUAGGUGGCAAGCGUUAUCCGGAUUUAUUGGGCGUAAAGAGAGUGCAGGCGGUUUUCUAAGUCUGAUGUGAAAGCCUUCGGCUUAACCGGAGAAGUGCAUCGGAAACUGGAUAACUUGAGUACAGAAGAGGGUAGUGGAACUCCAUGUGUAGCGGUGGAAUGCGUAGAUAUAUGGAAGAACACCAGUGGCGAAGGCGGCUACCUGGUCUGCAGCUGACGCUGAGACUCGAAAGCAUGGGUAGCGAACAGGAUUAGAUACCCUGGUAGGAUAGCG
rnacentral:rRNA from 1 species